GACGCCGCUACACCCACACCUUCAGUAGCCAGUCCAUCGCCGUCAUGAAGCUGUUGGCGCUCUUUCUCUUGGUUGUCAUCACAUUCGCUGCCCAAGUCGAGGCUUCGAAGUACGCGGCACUGAUGGUCAAAGAAGCGACCGAAGGGUCAAGAAUUACCCGCGGCAUUUACAGUUCUCAUCUCCCGAAUGGCACCAUCACUGACAUGUUUAACCUGAGUGACGAAAACGGGUACCAGCUACAAUGAAACCAUUACCUCAGCAAGUGACACUCCCACUGACUCACUCCGCCAAUGGCCACCACCAGGAGUCACCACUGAGCAGUACACACCUGGCUGCCAUCAACCUACACCUGCAAGGAACAAAACACUGACUGAUGGAAGGUUUGAUCUUGGCGCCACAACAUCGAGGUCAAAUGGGACCGGAACAAAAUUAAACAUAUAUCAAGAUUUGUAAUUACUCAAAAAAAAUAAAGGGAAUCAAUGUU